UUACGUCAUCUGGCCGCGACGAAGCGGCGGCUGGCCUUACUGUUGCUGGGAGGAGGCUGGAACGGCAGCCGCCGGGGCCGAGAUGAUGCCUGCCAGAGGGAGGUUUCCUGGGCAGCAGAGGCCGCUAGGGUUGGGAUGAAAGAAGCGGGGCAGAUGCAACAUCUGGAGAACGCGGGGACAUGGCGGUCAGUCAGCACCCAGACGGGCAGUAUGACCGGUGAAACACCAAGGCUUUCUAAAGUCAACCUUUUCACUCUCCUCAGCCUCUGGAUGGAGCUCUUCCCAGCUACAGAAGCCCAAAGACAAAAAUCUCAGAAAAAGGAAGAAGGAAAGCAUGGAGCCUUAGGAGAUAAUGAAGACAUGGCUAGAGGACCUACUGACAAAAAACAGGUAAAGAGAACUGGCCUUGUGGUGGUGAAAAACAUGAAAAUUGUUGGUCUUCAUUGUUCUAGUGAAGAUUUACAUGCUGGGCAAAUUGCUCUUAUUAAACAUGGGUCAAGGCUGAAAAGCUGCGACCUUUACUUUUCCAGAAAACCGUGUUCUGCUUGUUUGAAAAUGAUUGUAAAUGCUGGAGUCAACCGAAUUUCAUAUUGGCCUGCUGAUCCAGAAAUAAGUUUGCUUCCUGGGCCUUCCAGUUCUGAAGAUGCAAAGUUAGAUGCCAAAGCAGUGGAAAGAUUGAAGUCAAACAGUCGGGCCCACGUGUGUGUUUUACUUCAACCUUUGGUGUGUUAUAUGGUGCAGUUUGUAGAGGAAACCUCUUACAAAUGUGACUUUAUUCAGAAAAUUACCAAAACACUGCCGGAUGAUAAUUUUGACUUUUACUCUGAAUGUAAACAAGAAAGAAUAAAAGAAUAUGAAAUGCUAUUUUUGGUUUCAAAUGAAGAAAUACAUAAGCAGAUACUGAUGACUAUAGGUUUGGAGAACUUGUGUGAAAACCCAUACUUUAGCAAUCUAAGGCAAAACAUGAAAGACCUCGUCCUACUUUUGGCCACAGUAGCUUCCAGUGUGCCGAACUUUAAGCACUUCGGAUUUUAUUGUAGCAAUCCAGAACAGAUUAAUGAAAUUCACAGUCAAAGUUUGCCACAAGAAAUUGCAAGGCACUGCAUGGUUCAGGCCAGGUUAUUGGCAUAUCGAACUGAGGAUCAUAAAACAGGAGUUGGAGCAGUCAUUUGGGCGGAAGGGAAAUCUAGAAAUUGUGAUGGAACAGGAGCAAUGUACUUCCUGGGGUGUGGCUAUAAUGCUUUUCCUGUUGGAUCCGAGUACGCUGACUUUCCCCACAUGGAUGACAAGCAGAAAGACAGAGAGAUCCGGAAAUUCAGAUACAUUAUACACGCGGAACAGAAUGCCCUGACAUUCAGAUGUCAAGAAAUAAAGCCAGAAGAAAGAAGCAUGAUUUUUGUGACCAAGUGCCCGUGUGAUGAGUGUGUACCUUUAAUUAAAGGUGCAGGCAUAAAACAAAUAUAUGCUGGGGAUGUAGAUGUUGGAAAGAAGAAGGCAGACAUCUCUUACAUGAGGUUUGAGGAGCUCGAGGGUGUUAGCAAGUUUACGUGGCAGCUGAAUCCAUCAGGAGCUUAUGAUCUUAAACAAAGUGAACCCGAAAGGAGAGAAAAUGGUGUGUUGAGCCCCAGAUGUCUGGAAGAGCAGCACCAGAACAAGAAGCUGUGUCUCGGAAACCACUAAGAAGUCCUGAUUAAACUGGAGUAAAGGCCUCAAGAAUUUUUAUUGCACUUUUAAAAUUUAUUGCACUCAGAAAAUAAGGAUGGAUUUUGGGAAUAAUUGAAAUGAUUUGUAAGGGAGCUAAUUUAUUACUAGAUAGAUUUUCAUCUAUAUACUGUGGAUGGCAUCUUUUUUAUUACAUCUACAAUCAACACCGGAGAAUGCCAUCAAUAAUGAGGGAGUCUCUACAUCCGAUCAGUUUGAAGUCUUAAGCCAGAACUCAGGACUCCAGAAGUCAGAAAGCUUUCCUGCCUCUGCUUCAGCAGGUCAAUUCCAUGGGAAUUCAACUUCACCUUCCUCAGACUUUCCUGAUUAGACCAACCUACAGAAUUGAGACUUGCCAAGACCCCAGAUUAUGUGAGCCAAUUCCUAUAACUUUUAUAUAUCUCCUGAUGGUUCUAUCUACAGAACCCUGAUGUAUAACAGUAUCAUCUGCAAUUCUUUCCACUAGUCUCUCUCUUCACCAGGUGGAGGUUUGGUACUAAGUGAUGAAAACAUCCCCCAUUUCCUUACUUUUUCUGAUUUUCUGCCUCCAAUUAUAACACAAUUCUGAUUUCCUAAAAAUGAAUAAUGUUGCUAAGACUGUUGUGAUGAACUUUGGAAAUAUGUGCAUUGUGUCAUAUGAGUUUACUUAUUUGUUUACUGAGUUUGUUUCAUGCCAAUUACAGAUUUAGGUGCUUAACUUGAAGCAUCUUAUUUAAUUUGUCUAAUUGACUCCUCACACAAAUCUUUAUUACAUUUGUAAUAGUUGAAUAUAUCCACAUUCACACAUGCUUUUUAACAGCUGUGUAAUACUGGCCGGACUUGAACUGAAUGUCACCUAUUUCCACAUGCCGAAUUUAUGAGAAUCCUACAAAAAGAUAUCUACAAAUAUUUUCAUAAAUAUAUUGAUAAAUCACAAAAAAGUAGGUAAAGGCCAAGUUUACAUAUAAAGGAGACUAGGUAAACAAUUGGUGGAAUUAACAUAAUUGUAAAGUACUAAAUAUAUAAACAGAACAAACUAUAGAUACACAUAAUAUCCCUGUGCUGAGUGAAAGAAGCGUUACCAAAUAUUAUUCAUAUUAUUUCAUUAAUAUGAAGUAUUAUAACAGGUGAAAAAUAUCCAUUAGAGAAAAAAAAUCGGGACAUGUUUGGGGAUUGAGUGAAAAUGGGUAAGAGGGAACAUUCUGGAGUGAAGGUUAAUUGUGUAUACCUUGAAAGGGAUUUGGGUUACUUUUAACAUGUUUGUUAAAAGUCAUCACUAAGAUAUGCAUUUCAUUGUGUGUAAAUUUUAAAUAAAGCUGAAUACAACAGAAGGACUGUGGGAAGAUAAUGGAGUAGGAAACUCCAGGAAUCAAUCCUUCCACCACAACAGCUACCGAACUUGUAGACUGAAUCAACUAUUCUGAAACUACAGAAUUUAGUAAAACACUAUGGAGCAUCCAGAUAAGAGUGGGAGUGGCAGAAAGAGGAUGGUAAAUUCCUGAAAACACUGCUCAAUUUCACACCCUGUGCAGUGACUCUGGUAAUUCAUCCCCCAGAUUCCCUGCAGGCAGCAGGGGGUCCACAGCUUCAGCUCUAGUGAAGACUGCUGGUGCCAGGGUGGGAUAUAAAGACCUAAUACCCAAGACCCGUGGGUGUGUGGUCCAGUAGCUGAUCACUGCUUUCCUUCAGAUCAUUCAUAUUACUAUGGGCCAGCUCUGAGAGUGGCUAUCGUUCUACCCUGCCUCAAGCAAAAGAAGCAGAGGAGUCUUCAAGACAUUAUCCCUCCUCAAAACUAUAAAAAACAUUUGAGGGCUUCACUAACAGGUGUUAGAUCCCAGAAAGAAAGAAACUAACAUGUAGAAGGAGUUUCUAACCCAGGGGCCCCCGCAGCUUAUCUCACAGAAAACAGGCACCCCAUAAAUGAAAAGAUGAAG